UACGUAGGGGGCGAGCGUUGUCCGGAUUUAUUGGGCGUAAAGAGCUCGUAGGCGGUUCGAUAAGUCGGACGUGAAAUCUCCACGCUCAACGUGGAGGGGCCGUUCGAUACUGGCGUGACUCGAGUCCGGUAGGGGAGUGUGGAAUUCCCGGUGUAGCGGUGAAAUGCGCAGAGAUCGGGAGGAACACCCGUAGCGAAGGCGGCACUCUGGGCCGGUACUGACGCUGAGGAGCGAAAGCGUGGGGAGCAAACAGG
rnacentral:rRNA from 1 species